GAUGAACGCUGGCGGCGUGCCUAAUACAUGCAAGUCGAGCGAACGGACGAGAAGCAUGCUUCUCUGAUGUUAGCGGCGGACGGGUGAGUAACACGUGGAUAACCUACCUAUAAGACUGGGAUAACUUCGGGAAACCGUAGCUAAUACCGGAUAAUAUUUUGAACCGCAUGGUUCAAAAGUGAAAGACGGUCUUGCUGUCACUUAUAGAUGGAUCCGCGCUGCAUUAGCUAGUUGGUAAGGUAACGGCUUGCCAAGGCAACGAUGCAUAGCCGACCUGAGGGGGUGAUCGGCCACACUGGAACUGAGACACGGUCCAGACUCCUACGGGAGGCAGCAGUAGGGAAUCUUCCGCAAUGGGCGAAAGCCUGACGGAGCAACGCCGCGUGAGUGAUGAAGGUCUUCGGAUCGUAAAACUCUGUUAUUAGGGAAGAACAUAUGUGUAAGUAACUGUGCACAUCUUGACGGUACCUAAUCAGAAAGCCACGGCUAACUACGUG
rnacentral:rRNA from 1 species